AAAUUGAGGAGUGUUAAUUUUUUGGUGUUGAUGAGAAUCUUGAAGUUGGAGUGUCAAUCUUACACUAUUUGGAGUUGAUCUAACACUGCAUUUUCUUAAAAAUGUUAAAUUUAACACUGGAUCAUGAAAGUGUUGUAGUUAAAAUGGAGUGUUGAAAAUGUUUAAAUCUUGUUAGUGUCACAAUAAAGACAUUCAACACUUCCACACUCCAUUUAACACCUAACAGUGUUCACGUGCCCACGGACAUUUCAUUUAGACUCCACCCCUCACUUCACGUUGCUGAUGGAAGAAGUUGACAAUUAGGAAUCAUUUUGCAUCAGUAGGUAAGUAAACGUUUAAAUACUGUAGAUGAACUAUGAAUGAAUUGUGUUGUACCUUGUUUACACAUAAAAAACGUUAGUUUUUGGUGUGAUAUUUAAGACUAAUAAACUGAGGCAGCUGUUUCCACCCAAAGCCUUUGCUAAUGUUAGCUCGUGUUUUUGCUAAGUUAUAUUUUCUAUUAAGUGUUGCUGUGAGCUGAAUCGGCACUGCCUGGGCAACAUUUGUCAAAGUAAGUGAACGCUACGUUAUAUCUUCAUUUUUAAUGAGCUAAUGGCUAACUAGCUAAUUGGCACGAGGAGCCCCCACACGUAGGCCUGCUGGCCCCCAGCAAAGGACUUGAUAUGCUGUACAAGAUACAAGAUAUCAAGGUUGGCAACUCUAAUUGUUACUUUAACUUAAAAAUAAUUGUCAGGCGUGUGUUGGAAGUGAACUACACAAAUUUUUUUUUAGAAUGAUGCAUCUUUAUUUUUCUUCUUGAUUCACAGCAAACCUUUCCUUGAGACUUACGUGAAUGUGAGGUGGAUGGAGAUGUGUAGACUCCACUAUCCCUUCACCCCAGUUAUCGCCAGUUGGUGGCGAGUCUCCACUCUUGCCGACUACAUCCCAUUCAUCAGGUUCGACAAUUUAUCCUUCAGCCCACAAGAGGAACCCAACAGAACCAAUGGAUCAGGAUGAAGCAUGACGGAAAGUCGGUGGUGUUUUGAGGGCCAAUCCGAAAGGUGAGGAAAUCUUCAAGGAGUGCAACAAGACUGAAACACUAACCGAUGCAAGGUGUAAACAGAUGGUGAACAUCCUGGCUGCAGAUAUGAUGGAGCUGCAUGGGAGGGUUCCGCCAUCAUGUGUGAUGAGAAAUUACGCCCUGAGAAUUGUGACUUGUUUUCCAUACCUAAAAGAUCCAUUCUCCAAACCUGGAUAUGAUGCUUAGCUUAGCGGCAGUGGCUCAAGAGGUAGAGCAGGUCGUCCAGAAAUCGUAAGGUUGGUUGAUCUUGCUCCCUCCACCCAGUCACUGUUGUGUCCUACACUUCUCCUGGCUCUCAAAGCCGUUCCAAGACUGUUUCUUCAUGAUGGUCCAAAAACCAGAGGAGAAUAUCUGUUAACUGGUCAACAGCUGUUUGGUGAGGAGUGCAGGGAGGGGCUAUCUACAAUAAGACAUUCAACUGAUGAAUCCGUGGUCAAAGAAGAUGAGAGCAACUUUCCAGUAUCGACAGAAUAUGAUCCAAGCACAAGAUGUAUCAUCGUCUGUUCUCAAUGUGUUCCCUCGCUUCCUUGAUGUUCCUGGAUUGAUUGACCAGGAUUUCUCAAUGAUGUUUGGUGAUGAAGUAUCUCAGAGGUUCCUGGCUAAGUGGUCAACUGUCUUCAAAGCAAAAGUCAUUGCAGACUUCAAGACUCUCCCGCAAAAGCAGAACAUUGAUGAGUUGCUGUCAGGAACUGAACCUCAACCUGAUGACAGCUGUGGGUGAGAAGUUACGGUAUAGAUUACCAUGUUGGUGUGUUCAAAUGUACUGGAUGUAGCUUUGAUCUACCUGUGUUCAAGAAGAUCUGUGAUAUAAUAAAACACAAAGAAUGUGCUUUCAUAAUAGCCUGUAAUGUAGAAACGAUGUACUAUGAGGACAUGUUUAACGCGUACUGCAUAGAAGACC